UACGUAGGGGGCAAGCGUUGUCCGGAUUCAUUGGGCGUAAAGAGCGUGUAGGCGGCCAGGUAGGUCGGUUGUGAAAACUGGAGGCUCAACCUUCAGAGGUCGACCGAAACCAUCUGGCUAGAGUCCGGGAGAGGAGAGUGGAAUUCCUGGUGUAGCGGUGAAAUGCGCAGAUAUUGGGAGGAACACCAGUGGCGAAGGCGGCUCACUGGACCGGAACUGACGCUGAUGCGCGAAAGCGUGGGGAGCAAACAGG
rnacentral:rRNA from 1 species